CUGGUUUCAGAAGGUCUCUUUUUGACUCUCGCUACUCCCUCCUCAGAUGUUUGGUGGGCUUCAGCUGGACCAAGAGAGCCCACAGAUACCUAUUACUGUCUUACUAAAUUGGCAUCAGCACCAAAAGGACAGAAAAAAAAUGAACAUGGCAAGAAGAACUAGUUCUAAAGCAGUCUAAGAAGGAAUGAAGAUAAAAACCCUGACUUUCAUGGAAAAAUGAUGGAGAAAGAACAGAAAGAAUAGCAAUGGGACAGCUGAAUAGCCAUAGGCCAAAUGUGGAUGAAAAUGAACCCCUAACUCAUAUCACAUAAAAACAGCAACUCAAAAUAGAUGGCAGACCUAAACUAUAAAACUCUUACAAGAAACCAGAGAAGUAAAACUUUGUGAUCUUGGAUUAGGCAA